ensembl:lncRNA LINC01029 long intergenic non-protein coding RNA 1029
GGCUCUUUUUGCCUGCCGCCAUCCACGUAAGGUAUGAUUUGCCCCUCCUUGCCUUCUGCCAUGAUUGUGAGGCCUCCCCAGCCACGUGAAACUGAUCACAGGGCUCAGUUGAAGUCCAAGACUGUCAGAGGUGUGGAUAAAGUUAAAAUAUUUAACCUUCUCAUGUAAACAUAAGAAGGAGAGUGCAUGAGAUUAUAUAAAGACUCAGAGAAGAGAUACAGCUCCUCCCGCACCAGAGAAAUGCAGCUCCGUGAGCCCCGAUGGAGCCAGCAUGCUGCUGGGUGCUGAGGAGCAGGCAGAGGCACCCAGGAUGGCGGUCCCCAAGGAGAACGGAGGCACAGAACAACGCAUGAGGGGCCACAUGACUUAGGGCCGGGAUCGGUCACUCAGCCAGCAAAAACACUGGAAGAAAACAAAACAACUUCAGACUCUAUGCUGCAUUUCCGUAAUAUAUCUGCCCAAAGACUGGACAACAAAGGUAAAGGAGGCUGAUGAGGAAACGAAAGGAUCCGUGGUUCUUGGCUCGCUGGGUGGCUCAUCAACAAAGCCCCAGCAUCACUCCUGCAGAUGCCCUAGCCUGGCCUGGGCUGGGAUGGGCAAAAUUCACCAUGGGACUCUUGUUCAAGAGAGGGAGAUCAAAGCCAGAAACACUUACCCAGAAUGGCCAUGCAGACUAAAAUUCCAAUUCUAAAAAUACUUUUAAAAUGUAACGUACAACAAAGGAAAGCUGGAAAAAUAUUUAAAAAAGGAUGAAAGGGCAAGAAAAAUUCAACCCACGACCUCAAGGCGAUUAUAAUCUGUGUUCUGCUGCUUCCCAGAGCCGCUUCAGUCUUCAGCUCAGAGUCUACCAGACACUAAAAUGCAACUGAACACUCAGUUCAUACUUGUUCUUCUAAUUAGCUGCCUCUUCCAUUUGAUUAAUAUUGCCUCCUAAUUUAAUUGUAAAUUGUAUUUCUGGUUUAUAUUUCGCUUCUCCCUCCUGUUGUACCUGGUGACCAUCUUCAUUAAUCAUAUUGUAGCUUUUUAAUGAAUCUCAUAUGCCAAUUUAUGGUGAACAAGACUUGAUAUGAAGGCAUCUUCAUCAAAUCAUUCAUAAUCUUGUAACUAUUGGUUUAUUUUCUGUAACGACCUAUAAAUGUACACCAAAAAAAUGAAAGAUUCCCCCUAAAAUGUAAUGGGACAGAACUUUGUUUACGUAGAUUUCUGAGGAUGGGUUGAGACGCCAAAUUCCGCUUGUGUUUGGAAUUUCUAUUUCACUGGGCUUAGUGAGGGUGCCCAUGUUUUGCAAUCCUGUGCUCUAGAAUCUAUCAUAAACAGAUUCUUCUAAUUGUUUGACAUUAAACUGCAAAUUUGUGUUUUUGUGUCUGCUCAAAUAUAAAAUGUCUUUGGGAAAAAUACAGAGAAUGGUUCGUUAGAGCUGCUUCUACUCUUGUGUCUAAGUCCAAAUGGCCAAUUGAGGAGGACAUCUCUGAAUACACACCCCAGGCAGCAGGACCAAAUUCAAGAUUUCUGAUUCUGCUGGCUGGGAUGUAACCCAACGUAUCAGGCACCAAAUGGGCUUGCUUUUGUGUUUUUUCAUUUCCAUUCCUUGGCAGAAUCUCUUUUAUCUUUGACUCCCCUCACAUUCCAGCCUCUUUGUUUUCAUAAGUGGAAUGGCAUUUGUAGGCUAAGCCAAGGACAAAAAGGGAGGCUGUGUGGGGUCACGUUGCAACAUAGUGGCUACCCACAAUGUCUUUGGCAUCCCAAAUAGAAAUUUCCAACGGCAAAUAUCCAGGCAUGCUUGAAAUCCAUAAGCGUGCACUCUGCCUCGUUGCGCUUCCACACGACAUUGUUUCUCCUUGACACAUCGCAAGCCUCAAAUCAAUGCUGAUAGACACAAGAACCCUCUGGCAUCCCCUGUGAUCUAGGAUUUCCCGCGAUGUUACUUGCUGUUCUAAUUACUCUUUCUUCAUGCAAAAUAUUAUAAGUGGCUUGGUUAAGCGCACCCUAAACUGGCCACGUUGCUGUCCUUAUAAAAAUAAACAAAUGCUCCGUUUUUUACACCUCUAAACA